AAAAUUUGGCCUCAGCUCUUGCAUCACAACAAAAGCUAAGAUUUUAAACCUUGAAGUUUAGCUCAUAUCGAACAAGUCACAGUAACUCAUGUUUGAGUAGCUAACUUCUUCAAGUAUCGUAUCAAAAAAAGACAAACUUUACCAAAUUAGAUGAAAGACCAGGAAAAUAAUUCAGACACAUAAUGUAACUAUUAUUUUAACAUGAAUUUGCAUGGGUGUAGGUAUUGAAACUUGAUCCACAUUCAUAAGUCAACUGGAGUGAUCAUUAUUCCCUAAAAGUGGAUAACAAAAUGUUCUGCAGAAAAAAAUUAAAUCAAAACAAUUACAUUUUCUUUUCAAACUCGCUUUUAGUACCGAUAGAAAAUUCUGGUAUUAAUUAAUUUUAAGUUUGAAAUGAGGUGAAAAUUUAUGCGAAGUAAUCAAUGCAAAUUUCAAAACCUGUAAAAAACUCUUGUUGUACAUAUGUUGCAAUGGAGAUAACACAAAAGGGAAAGAAGAAAACUGAAGAAUGUCAACCAGCAAGAGGCGUAAAUAGUUGGCAACUAUUGUGGGGGUUAUAUAACUAUACCAACAAUUAUAUGUAGUACCUCUGUCGAAGCAUAUUAAAUCAAUGGCUUUGAUUCUCCUAUCUACAACAUGGUUGAGAUAUCUCACACUGUCCAUUUUGCAAGAUGUAGAGAACAGGCCACAAACUCACAAAAGGGCUAGUUUAACUCUGCAUCUGUACCUACAAACAACCAAAAGAAAAACUAUGUCCACUAUAAAUGAAUGCUUUUGAGAUACUGAAAGUGGUUCAUCAUAAGCAGAAGGUGUUGUUUGUCCUUCUAGACCAAUGUUUUCACUAACCUACAUUGCCUUAAGUAUGAGAGUUGCGUCAAUUGCAUCAUUUACUACUUCAACGUCAAAGUGCUCUGCCAAAAGUCGUUGACUCAUAGGAAGAGACGGUACAUUUAGUUUCUUGCAUUUUACUUCUAAUGACAUAUUUCUCAUCAUCUAGAACACUUUAUUCUUCCUUUUCUUAAUCCUUUACAGUGUAUUUACAUAAGAUUAUAUACUUAAUGAUCAACAACAACCUAUUCCUGAUAAAACAAUAUAUCUUUUCUCAAUUAUUUAAAUUUUAGGCAUAGUUUGUAAUGCUUGAGAACUUCCAAUAGCGACAUGAAAGUACAAAAUCUUAACGACCUAGAACCACUAAUACAACUCAUUUAAUAGAAAAAAUGUGAGAAACAAUCACCUUCGAUAGACCUUGAUUGAGUAGAAACCUGUCACUAUAUUUUGACAACCAUUGUCUUAACCAUGGCAACUCCUAAAGAUCCUCCAGUUGAAUUAUAAUUGAAACCGCAAGAAGAAGAAUAUCUCUGCAACAAUUUAAAAAAAAAAAAAGGUAAAUUAUGCAACUUUUAUAAGUAAAUAAUUGACUCGAGAACUUGUUUCGAAUCUCUCCAAAUUUUGAUGAAAGGUUGUAAUUUCAACGGCACCUUAUUGUUUACUUGAUUUACACUAACCUAUAAGUUAAAUAGAAAAUACACUCACCAUAAAUUUAAAAAUAAGUCUUGCAAUUUCAUCAGGAAAAAGUAUAAGCACAAAGGGCUAAGAAGUGCAGUGCAGCUACUGCUAAAUCGUCAAAAAGUAAAAAGAUAAGAAAUGAACAUUUUCCUUUUCAAUCAUGAAUAAAUUGAAUGAUAUACGAUAUUUCUUUGUUAGUGCUAAAUCAUCAAAAAUAGUUGAUAAAAUAUAAAUGCAUUACUGACCUUUAGGAAUGUAGUUGACAUAGCCUUCCUCUAUUCUCUUUGAGUUUUUCUUAUUGCCAUUGACGACUAUAAAAUUGACACAAAAACAGUCAAUAAAGAUAUGCAUGUGAAAAAUAAGUUAAGAAAAGAUUCAAAUACUCAGGAAAUUUCAUAAAAAUACGACAUUUUAGAUUCUCAUUUCUGUUUCACAAUAAUCUUUGUCUUCCUAAAAGAUUCUCACGGAUAUUAGACCAAAAUCAAAAUCCUAAUUUAUGCAAUUGAAACAACACCAAAUCCAUAGGAACUAAAUGUAGUUGAAUAUAGAUAUCACGGGAGAGAGAAAAUAGAGAGCAUGACUAAAGAAUAAAUCAGUGAAGAAGAAAUUGAGAAAUCACCCAACUUGGCUCUGAGUGGUGAAAGAGAAUGGAGAACAAAAUAGGAGAAACAAA
rnacentral:lncRNA from 1 species